rnacentral:rRNA from 1 species
GACGAACCGUCCAACCGUUAUUCGGAAUCACUGGGCUUACAGAGUUCGUAGGCGGUCUGGAAAGUUGGGUGUGAAAUCCCUCGGCUCAACCGAGGAACUGCGCUCAAAACUACCCGACUCGAGGGAGAUAGAGGAAAGCGGAACUGAUGGUGGAGCGGUGAAAUGCGUUGAUAUCAUCAGGAACACCGGUGGCGAAGGCGGCUUUCUGGGUCUUACCUGACGCUGAGGAACGAAAGCUAGGGGAGCGAACGGG